UGGGGAAUAUUGGACAAUGGGCGCAAGCCUGAUCCAGCCAUGCCGCGUGAGUGAUGAAGGCCCUAGGGUUGUAAAGCUCUUUCACCGGUGAAGAUAAUGACGGUAACCGGAGAAGAAGCUCCGGCUAACUUCGUGCCAGCAGCCGCGGUAAUACGAAGGGGGCUAGCGUUGUUCGGAUUUACUGGGCGUAAAGCGCACGUAGGCGGACUAUUAAGUCAGGGGUGAAAUCCCGGGGCUCAACCCCGGAACUGCCUUUGAUACUGGUAGUCUUGAGUUCGAGAGAGGUGAGUGGAAUUCCGAGUGUAGAGGUGAAAUUCGUAGAUAUUCGGAGGAACACCAGUGGCGAAGGCGGCUCACUGGCUCGAUACUGACGCUGAGGUGCGAAAGCGUGGGGAGCAAACAGG
rnacentral:rRNA from 1 species